GUGGGUGUAGUUCAGUUGGCUAGAACGCCAGAUUGUGGCUCUGGAGGUCGUCGGUUCAAGUCCGAUCAUCCACCCCA
rnacentral:tRNA from 2 species